GAUGAAGAACGCAGCGAAAUGCGAUACGUAAUGUGAAUUGCAGAAUUCAGUAAAUCAUCGAAUCUUUGAACGCAUAUUGCGCUCUCUGGUAUUCCGGAGAGCAUGCUUGUUUGAGUAUCAGUAAACACCUCAACUCCCUUUCUUCUUGAAAUGGAGCUGGACUUGAGUGAUCCCAACGCUUUAUUCAUAAAGUGGCGGGUUACUUGAAAUGCAGGUGCAGCUGGACUUUUCUCUGAGCUAUAAGCAUAUCUAUUUAGUCUGCCUCAAAACAGAUUAUUACCUUUGCUGCAGCUAACAUAAAGGAGAUUAGUUCUUGUGCUGACUGAUGCAGGAUUCACAAAGACCGCUUCGGCUGUCUUUGUAAACUCGAUCUCAAAUCAAGUAAGACUACCCGCUGAACUUAAGCAUAUCAAUAAGCGGAGGA
rnacentral:misc_RNA from 1 species